GCCCUUAUAGCUCAGUGGUAGAGCGCUUCACUCGUAAGUUUCAACUUACAUUGCAAUCCGCAUAAUGAAGAGGUCUGCGGUUCGAUCCCGCAUGGGGGCA